GGAGCGAGCAAGCAAUUAAAAGGCCUGCCUUCUCACAGCUCAUUUAAUGACUCCAAACCUUCAUCACCACCACAAGCAGUGAUAAUAAUAGCAGAUCACUCAGAGCUCAUCAAUUACCCCCACCCACCACUCCAAAGUUCAUGCUGCGCAAUAAAGGGGAGGAGCCGGAGCUUUCAAACGAUGAGAAAAAGCCAUAAAGCGGCGAGUCCGGGAGACAAGACCGAUCGGGCUCACACGAGAAUUCCAGAGGCUGUGGUCGGCGGUGGGGACGGCGCCGGCGCGUUGGGUCUCCAUCGCAGAUGGGAUGACCUCAUGAAGGUAACUACUCCCCCACUUGUUGUUAAUCGCUGCUUUCGCUCGUCGGUGCGCCAUGAGUAGGUUUGUGCGUGAGGGCGGAGUGACCUCAUAAUCAUCACAGAGAGGGCAGGGCAAAGCGGCAUGAUCCUUCGGGCCCAUGUCUCUUGACUGGUUCAGAGAUCAUUCCAGCUUCCCGUUUCGCUUGGCCCAGAGGACCACACCGGUGGGCAAGCAUGCAAGCCAUGCUCCCCCUUUGCCUCCGGCCUCCAACUCUCUCGUCAUCCAUGCUUAAACCGCACUUGAUCCUUCCAUACAUCCCUCGCUUUAGAUAGAGAUGCUCUCGAAGGCGUCGCCGGCUGUGCCGGGACUGUACGGACACGAUCAAAGGAAACGCGCUUCUAGAUUCGUGCAAUAAGCUAUAACAGAGGAGGUGUCUACUCACCCACCGAUCGAUGGCGUAAUUGAAAGAAAAUUAUUGGUUUCGCGA